AUACGGAGGGUGCAAGCGUUGUUCGGAAUCACUGGGCGUAAAGGGCGCGCAGGCGGUUUGGUAAGUCAGAUGUGAAAGCCCACGGCUCAACCGUGGAAGUGCAUUUGAAACUGCCAGGCUUGAGUACCAGAGGGGAAAGUGGAAUUCCCGGUGUAGAGGUGAAAUGCGUAGAUAUCGGGAGGAAUACCGGUGGCGAAGGCGACUUUCUGGCUGGAUACUGACGCUGAGGCGCGAAAGCGUGGGGAGCAAACAGGAUUAGAAACCCUAGUAGUCC
rnacentral:rRNA from 1 species